rnacentral:rRNA from 1 species
UUGGUCAAGCUACCAAGGGCUGAUGGUGGAUACCUAGGCACACAGAGGCGAAGAAGGACGUGGUUACCGACGAUAUGCUCCGGGGAGUUGGAAGCAAGCAUUGAUCCGGAGGUUUCCGAAUGGGGCAACCCAGUAUACGGCCAUCUGAAUCUAUAGGAUGGCACGAGCGAACGCGGCGAAUUGAAACAUCUUAGUAGCCGUAGGAAGAGAAAGAAAACUCGAUUCCCCUAGUAGCGGCGAGCGAAGCGGGAAGAGCCUAAACCAAUGGUUUUUACUGUUGGGGUUGUGGGACAGCGUGAUGGAAUCUAGCGACUAGACGAAGCAGUUGAGAACUGCACCAGAGGAGGUGAGAGUCCUGUAGUCGAAAGUUUAAGGAUACUAGCUGAAUCCCGAGUAGCACGGGGCACGUGGAAUCCCGUGUGAAUCCGCGAGGACCACCUCGUAAGGCUAAAUACUCCUGUGUGACCGAUAGUGAAGAGUACCGCGAGGGAAAGGUGAAAAGAACCCCGGGAGGGGAGUGAAAUAGAACAUGAAACCAUCAGCUUACAAGCAGUCAGAGCCCGAUUAAACGGGUAAUGGCGUGCCUGUUGAAGAAUGAGCCGGCGACUUAUAGGCACUGGCAGGUUAAGGCGGGAAUGCCGAAGCCAAAGGGAAACCGAGUCUGAAUAGGGCGAAGUGUCAGUGUUUAUAGACCCGAACCCGGGUGAUCUAACCAUGUCCAGGCUGAAGCUUGGGUGACACCAAGUGGAGGGCCGAACCGACUGGCGUUGAAAAGCCAGCGGAUGAGGUGUGGUUAGGGGUGAAAUGCCAAUCGAACCCGGAGCUAGCUGGUUCUCCCCGAAAUGUGUUGAGGCGCAGCGGUCGUUAUUAUAGCUGGGGGGUAAAGCACUGAUUCGGUGCGGGCUGCGAGAGCGGUACCAAAUCGAGUCAAACUCUGAAUACCCAGUGAACAGACGGCCAGUAAGACGGUGGGGGAUAAGCUUCAUCGUCAAGAGGGAAACAGCCCAGACCAUCAGCUAAGGUCCCCAAAUCACAACUAAGUGGUAAAGGAGGUGAGAGUGCUGAGACAACCAGGAGGUUUGCCUAGAAGCAGCCACCCUUGAAAGAGUGCGUAAUAGCUCACUGGUCAAGCGCUCUUGCGCCGAAAAUGAAUGGGACUAAGUUGUGUACCGAAGCUAUGGACUUCUAAGGAAGUGGUAGGGGAGCGUUCUGUACGAAGCGAAGCAUUAGCGAAAGCAGGUGUGGAUUGUGCAGAAGUGAGAAUGUCGGCUUGAGUAGCGCAAACAUGUGUGAG